CGGUUAAGUUAGAAAGGGCGCACGGUGGAUGCCUUGGCACUAGGAGCCGAUGAAGGACGGGACUAACACCGAUAUGCUUCGGGGAGCUGUAAGUAAGCUUUGAUCCGGAGAUUUCCGAAUGGGGAAACCCGCUGCACGUAAUGGUGCAGUAUCCAUACUUGAAUACAUAGAGYAUGGAAGGCAGACCCGGGGAACUGAAACAUCUAAGUACCCGGAGGAAGAGAAAGCAAACGCGAUUCCCUGAGUAGCGGCGAGCGAAACGGGAUUAGCCCAAACCAAG
rnacentral:rRNA from 1 species